rnacentral:lncRNA from 1 species
CUCUGAAUGGAAAAUGGAAUGGGAAGAAGGGAAACAUGUUACUCUUAGGACCCAGGUUUUGAAAACUCUAAUAAACAAGUUUAUUAAUUGUAUAAUAUAUGCAUUGUUUCAUAUCUGGCAACUGCACAAUUUAUACUCGGAUUUUUGAGACAGUUUGGGAAUAGUUUAUCCUGUUAUUAUCUUCAGGAGUCUAUAGUCCUCCUACAGGAAAUUGUAUCAAAAUUAAAGAAGACUGAGUUAAUUUAUUGUACUGCCAGGAAUUGUGCUGAGAGUGUGAAUUGAAGGACAAAAGACACAUUUUGUGGCUUUGAAAAUUUCAGAUGGAGAUACUGGGGGAACAGGGCUUCCCUGAAGCCCUAACAGUGGCAUGGGUAUUCUGGCUGCCUUUGGAGCAUCAGAGAACUGGGGCUCACUUAUCAUUAUACAAACUGUCUACUGAAGAAGUUCCUCUACCAUUUCUCAUUCAUUGCAUUUUCAAGUGUAAUGCUAGGUGACUGGAAAAGUGGAAAACUCCAAGGAGGAAAACGAGAUACCGUCCAGUGUUUAAGAGGAAUGAUUGAUGCUGACAAAUUUGGAAUAAAAAUUUUAAAUAAAUAAUCUGGAUGUUUUCUAAGGCAAGCUGUUGAUUUUAUCACUUCCCAUUGCCAAGACACACAUCGGUGCCUGUUAAAUUUGACGUUUUUACUCUGAUCGUCAGUGGCAGCUUUAAAGCAUCUGUAGCAUCCCAGGAUCAAGCAACAAAUCAACUCCACGAAGGGCUGUGAAACCAUAUCUGCCCGUUUCCUUUCCCGAGAGCCUCUCUCUAGUGGCAAGCCAGUAGCUAAUCUACACCGGAGAAGUUACGACCCUUGUCUUUUGCAGUUAAUGGCAGCCUGUUUGUUUUCUGCACCUCUCUUUUCCUUUUGGGGAACACAGGGCUGAAAGGUAACAAGAUCCAACAGGGCUCUAAUCAUUAUAUAAACUGUCUACUGAAGAGGUCCCUCUACCUCCACCAAAUUUCUCAUUAGGUGGCCACAGUUGAGAGCCAACAGUCUCUGGCAACAAUUUUGAAUAACUAUUCAUAUUAAAGAGGCUUUUUACAAAAGGGAUAAACUUUUAAGAAGAACUUGGGUCAUGGUGUUUGAAAGAAAUGAUAUGUUUAUUAUUGUUUAGCGAUGCUGGUAAUAUUGACUAUACUUUGCUCUUUCCCUCCCACAGUCCUGAUACUUCUUUACAUCUUGAAUUUCUGAUAUUUUAAAUAUAAUUAGGCUUUGAAUAUGUAAGUACAUAAUUGGAAUUGGAAUUGAAUCAGAAACUUGUGUUGAUGCUCCAGUUAUAUAUUCCUAUGCAUUAUAUUACAGGGACUAGUGAAUGAUGGCCCAAAUGCCAAUCUGAGGCUUGCAUCUUGUACUUCUUUGAUAUUUUUAAUAUAUUUAGGCUUUGAGUAUGUAGCACACAAUGAAUUGGAAACUUAUGUUUAUGAUCUAGUUAUGUAUUCCUAUGUAUUACAGGGACCAUUGACUGAUGUCCUAAACACCAUUCUGAAGCUCUAAUAGUGUCUAGUGUAAACUGUGAAAUAUUGAUACACUUCCUCUUACAAUGAGUGACAUUAUUUGAUCCCUAACCAUGGACAUCAUUGUGGAAAUUCACCUCCACCCCAUCCUCACCUCAUCAAGUCCCUAGCAUUCCAACACUAUAAUGUCUACUUCUGCAGCUGAUAUUCUGAUUUCUAGAAUGUGUUUGUCAAAUAUUAUAUCUGUUGUCAGCUUUCCUUGUGAUGUGUGUUGUUUUUUAAAAGACUGAAACUGCACUGGAUUUAUGGGAAAGUAAGAUGAAGCGUGUCCCUGGCUAUGGUGAUGAGCUUGCAACAAGGACAGCUAAAACGAUGGUGUUUUUAAAGAGGAAAUAUUAGCCUUGGCAUAUUGCAGGAAAGAACCCACAUCUACAGUCUGUUCCUUCUGUGGUUAGUGACAGGUAUAUGCCACUCCUACA